UACGUAGGGGGCAAGCGUUGUCCGGAUUUAUUGGGCGUAAAGAGCGUGUAGGCGGUUUGGUAGGUCCGUUGUGAAAACUCGAGGCUCAACCUCGAGACGUCGGUUGAAACCAUCUGGCUAGAGUCCGGAAGAGGAGUGUGGAAUUCCCGGUGUAGCGGUGAAAUGCGCAGAUAUCGGGAAGAACACCCGUGGCGAAGGCGGCACUCUGGGACGGUACUGACGCUGAGACGCGAAAGCGUGGGGAGCGAACAGG
rnacentral:rRNA from 1 species